rnacentral:rRNA from 1 species
GAUGAACGCUGGCGGCGUGCCUAAUACAUGCAAGUCGAACGAACGGCCGAGAAGCGUGCUUCUCUGAUGUUAGCGGCGGACGGAUGAGGAACACGAGGAUACCCUACCUCUAGGACAGGGAUAACUUCGGGAAACCGGAGCUAAUACCGGCUACUAUCUUCAACCGCAGGGGUCAAAAGUGAAAGACGGUCUUGCUGUCACUUAUAGAUGAAUACGCGCUGCGUUAGCUAGUUGGUAAGGUAACGGCUUACCAAGUCAACGAUGGAUAGCCGACCGGAGCGGGGGAUCGCCGACAUGGGAACGUGGCCACGCUCCCUGCGCCUACGGGACGGCGCAGUAUGCAACCGGCCGCAAUGGUCGAGAGCCUGACGGAGUAACGCCGCGCCAGUCAUGGAGGCCUUCGGAUCGUGAAGCUCUGUUACGAGUUAAGAACAUAUGUGUACGUAACUGUGCACAUCUUGACGGUACCUAAUCAGAAAGCCCCGGCUAACUACGUG